AUUAUAUGAUGAUAUUAAUAUGUCAGUUCUGCUACUGAGUAAUAUUGAAGAAAAUCCUUUUCUGAGCU